rnacentral:rRNA from 1 species
UGGGGAAUAUUGGACAAUGGGGGCAACCCUGAUCCAGCAAUGCCGCGUGUGUGAAGAAGGCCUUCGGGUUGUAAAGCACUUUAGGCUGGGAAGAAGGUGAGUGGUUUAAGAGAUAGCUCAUUUGACGGUACCGGCAGAAUAAGCACCGGCUAACUCUGUGCCAGCAGCCGCGGUAAUACAGAGGGUGCGAGCGUUAAUCGGAAUUACUGGGCGUAAAGGGCGCGUAGGUGGUGAGUUAAGAUUGUUGUGAAAUCCCUGGGCUUAACCUAGGAACUGCAACGAUGACUGGUUCGCUUGAGUAUUGUAGAGGGUAGUGGAAUUUCCGGUGUAGCGGUGAAAUGCGUAGAGAUCGGAAGGAACACCAGUGGCGAAGGCGGCUACCUGGACAAAUACUGACACUGAGGCGCGAGAGCGUGGGGAGCAAACAGG